UACGUAGGGUGCGAGCGUUGUCCGGAAUUAUUGGGCGUAAAGAGCUUGUAGGCGGUUUGUCGCGUCUGCCCGUGAAAGCCCAGGGCUUAACCCUGGGUCUGCGGUGGGUACGGGCAGACUAGAGUGUGGUAGGGGGAGACUGGAAUUCCUGGUGUAGCGGUGAAAUGCGCAGAUAUCAGGAGGAACACCGAUGGCGAAGGCAGGUCUCUGGGCCACUACUGACGCUGAGAAGCGAAAAGCAUGGGGGGAGCAAAACAGGG
rnacentral:rRNA from 1 species